AUUUUGACAGGUCUACAGAGCUCCCACGCCCAGUCUGUCUGUUCUCUGUCUGUCUCUUUCUCUGGUGACGAAGUUGGACGAGGGUGAAGGUUAUACGACCCUAAUGUGGUCAGUUUCAUCUCUCCAUUUGCUGAGCCCUAAAAAGUUGAUGGGGCAUUUUGAUUUCGACAUUUUGACUCGAGUUUCGAGCAGGUCUAGUAGUGACUGAGGCCUGUUGCUGAAAGCUCUUUCCUUUGGCUUGGACUCUGAAAGAGUAAUCUAGCUUCCAUGUUGUAUGACUCAUCACUCCCAGUUCAUUUCCCUUUCAAGCAUCAGACUUGAACCCUCGGCCUUCCAAUUAGGAGGUGAGGAGAUGAAUUGUUAGGCUCAAGCAUGCGGGAAAAGCGCAUUAAUUAAUCCAGAUGAAUCAUGAAGUGAUGAGCCGCCUGCAGGCUGCAGCUAUACACACAUGCAAGUACUAAGUCCAGGCUCCUCUGUUGAGACGCUUGCCUUCAGAAGCACACGGGCUUCUACCCAUUUCCCCUCCCUCUUCCUCUCCCUCUCGUUAAUUCUCUCGAAGAGCUAGCUAGCUGGCUAGCUAGUCGCUGAUAAAUGGCAAUUGCUUCUUACCCCACUUCCUACAGAAGUAGACAUCAUUGUUUCCUACUGUAUGGGGGCGUGUGUGUGUGUGUGUGUAUAUGUACAAAUCUCAUGCAUGUUCACUUUGGGUCACUGGCUUUGGACUGUACAUUUUAAAUGAGCCCUGCAGUAAACAAUUCUCAACGUA